rnacentral:rRNA from 1 species
AGUGAACGCUGGCGGUAGGCUUAACACAUGCAAGUCGAACGGCAGCACAGGAGAGCUUGCUCUCUGGGUGGCGAGUGGCGGACGGGUGAGGAAUACAUCGGAAUCUACUCUGUCGUGGGGGAUAACGUAGGGAAACUUACGCUAAUACCGCAUACGACCUACGGGUGAAAGCAGGGGACCUUCGGGCCUUGCGCGAUUGAAUGAGCCGAUGCCGGCUUAGCUAGUUGGCGGGGUAAAGGCCCACCAAGGCGACGAUCCGUGGCCGGUCUGAGAGGAUGAUCAGCCACACUGGAACUGAGACACGGUCCAGACUCCUACGGGAGGCAGCAGUGGGGAAUAUUGGACAAUGGGCGCAAGCCUGAUCCAGCCAUACCGCGUGGGUGAAGAAGGCCUUCGGGUUGUAAAGCCCUUUUGUUGGGAAAGAAAUCCAGCUGGCUAAUACCCGGUUGGGAUGACGGUACCCAAAGAAUAAGCACCGGCUAACUUCGUGCCAGCCGCCGCGGUAA